rnacentral:rRNA from 1 species
AUGUCUUCCACCUCCGGCGCUUCCCAAACCAACCUCAAUAGCCAAGUUACCGAGAAGCUAACCCGCACAAAUUAUGUGCUAUGGCGCACGCAAGUCAUCCCUCAGCUGCGCGGCGCCGGUGUCUACGUCUAUGUCGACGGCACCAAGCCGGAGCCAGCGAAAUUCCUCGUCACCACCAAGGACGGCAAGGAGGAUUCGUCAACGCCCAACCCUCUCCACCCAAUCUGGGUCCGGGAGGAUCAGCAGGUUCCGGGAUACCUGCUGAACAACCUGACACGUGAGGUGCUGCUCACGGUGACCACGGUCACCACCGCGGGCGCGCUCUGGACGACGCUCGCUGGGAUGUUCUCGUCUCAGUCUGCCAGCCGCAUCAACAAUAUACGAACGUCCCUCAUCAACGCGCAGAAGGGGAGUCUCUCCGUUGCCUCCUACUUCGCCGCCAUGCGCGGCUACGCCGAUGAGCUAGCCGCCGCAGGCAAGGCGAUCCCCGACGACGAACUCGCCUCCUACAUCAUCCAU